rnacentral:rRNA from 1 species
AUGGCGGCCUGCCUCCGCUGCCGCCGCCGCCUCCCCCUCUCCCCUCCGGCGGCGCCGCUGGAAGACGACGGCCUGCUCUCUGAGAACCUCCUCCGCCUCCCCCCGCAGCCCUCCUCCCUCCCGCGCGCCUCCGCCGUCUGCAGCCGCCUCCUCUCCGACCCCGCCUUCCGCCGCCGCUUCCGCAUCCACCACCGCGGCAGCGCUCUCCUCCUCGGCUCCUUCAUCCAUUACCCCGGAAUCACCUUCCAGCCAGCGCCCGACGCCCCCGACCGCCUCCCCCUCGAGCAAUUCCGCCUGAAGCUCGACGACCACUACAUCGCCCUCGGAUGCCGCCAUGGCCUCGCGCUCUUCUUCCUCCCGAUCCGGCUCCAGGUGCUCGUGUGGGACCCCCUCGCCGGCCACCAGCUCCGCCUGGCCGUUCCCCCGGAUUUCGAGUUCCAGGGGGCCAAGGGUGAUAUCAGCGGGGCGGUGCUUCGCGCCGCCGGAGACGUCGACCACUUCCGGGUGGUCCUGGUAGGCUGCGACGGGGAGCAGCCUAGAACCGCGCUCGCCUGCGUUUACUCGUCGGAGACCGGCGUAUGGGGUGGUUGCGUCUCAACGCCGAUUCCAUCCGAGGGUUUGUUCAUUUUCAGGGGCGAGCCCGCUAUGUUGGCAGGGGAUCGCCUUCACUGGUCUGUUACCGUGGCAGGAUCAAGAGGUAUCCUGAAGUUUGAUUUGGAUAGGCAGAGCCUAGAUCUGAGUUUGCUGCCAGGGGAUUAUUACACCCCGCUCAGUCCCGAAUUCACUGUUGUGCGAGCAGAGGGUGGCCGGAUGGGUUUCCUGUUCUUACACCGAUUUAUCGCCGAAUUGUGGAGUACGAAGCGCAAUCGUGACGGUGUCGAAAUAUGGACGCCAGGAAGAAGUAUUGAACUGGACAAGUUACUUGGGCUAAAUUCAGAGAAAGAGCCCCCACAGAUGAUAGGGUAUGCGGAGGAAAACAAUGCGGUGUUCUUCAGGGCAGCUGACGCUGACUACAUGGUCCAUCUUGAGUCAUUGCAGUUCAACAAACUCCCCAAGACAACCGUCGGUUCUUACUAUCAUCCAUUCGAAACUGUCCAUACUCCAGAGCCUGGAUCUGAGCUUGCUGCCAGGGGAUUAUUGCCUUCACUGGUUGUGCGAGCAGAGGGUGGUGGGAAGGGUUUCCUGUUCUUAUACCGAUUUACCGCCGAAUUAUGGAGUACGAAGCGCAAUCGCGACGGUGUCGAAAUAUGGGCGCCAGGAAGAAGUAUUGAACUGGACAAGUUACUUGGGCUGAAUUCAGAGAAAGAGCCCCCACAGAUGAUAGGGUAUGCGGAGGAAAACAAUGCGGUGUUAUUCAGGACAGUUGACGCUGACUACAUGGUCCAUCUUGAGUCACUGCAGUUCAACAAACUCCCCAAGACAACCGUCGGUUCUUACUAUCAUCCAUUCGAAACUGUCCAUACUCCAGGUCAGCGGCAUGAGGCUUGGAGUGUGCUUCUAUAA